rnacentral:miRNA from 1 species
UGAGGCAGGAGAAUUGCUUGAACCCGGGAGGUGGAGGCUGCAGUGAGCCAAGAUCACGCCACUGCACUCCAGCCUGGGCGACAAAGCGAGACUCUGUCUUGGA